rnacentral:tRNA from 1 species
GCGCCGGUUGUGUAAGGGUAGCACCGGAAAGCAGCAAGUGCGGGUUCGAGUCCUGCCUGGCGCA